rnacentral:lncRNA from 1 species
CACAGGCAGCCACAUUGAUUCUUUAAAUAAGCACCAACCUUUCCACCUCUGAACACUUCUAUUCAGUGGAAAUAGAAUGGAAAAAGCUAAAUAGCCCCAGGUCCCAAAUUUAAAAUAUCUAUCUUUUGGCAUAGAAAAGACUAUUGCACUGGGUUCGGUUCCAUUCAAUACUGUUGCUAUAGCCUUUCUCCGUAGAAUAGAGUGUGCUAAAGCAGGACUAAAAUUGGAUAGGGUGGAUUUAUCCUAGCAAUUCAACCUGCUCUUAACAGAGGAUAUCGGGGGAAAUGCAUGAAGGCUAGAUGUUCACACCGUCCCACUUCUCCAGCCUUUCAGAAAUCAAGAGUUGAUUGUCUCGCAUUGUGGAAGAGUAUCAUCAGUGUCCUUGGUUUUCUAGUCUCUGAAAGAAGAUGCCAUUGCCUAGAUAGUGUCUGUGGCUGCAGAGCUCUGAGAAAAGGCUACCCCAGGGCAUGGUAGGAGAGGCCAGAGGACUCAGGCAGUGUUCCUGGGUGAGCUGUUCCAGAUCCCUGUAGAAGACGUGUUCAGCAAGUCACAGGUGCACUGCUUGUUGUGUUCAGAGGGUCACUCUUCAUACCUGGGACACCCAGGAUGAAGGAAAGAGUCAAUCCUGCCACUACACCCUCCAUCUCCUCAUGGUUUUUGCAUGUGUAUGUCAUCCUGACAUUGUCUGCUUAAUUCAAGUUAUUAAUUUGGUCUCAUCCUUUGCAUCUUAAACAUUUUAUUA